rnacentral:lncRNA from 9 species
UAUCCUGGAUUGAGGGUGGAUCCUCGCCCUGGAUUUAGGGCCCAUGUCCCCUAGGAAGAGGCAGAGACACAGAGAAGAGGGAGAUUUGGGACAAGGGGACACGUCCCAGCCAAGGACCUCCGAGGAUUUCUGGCCACCCCAGAAGCUGGAGAGAGGCCUGAAACACACCCUCCCUUGGCCCAGAGCCUCCUGCACCCUGAGCCCCUGCUCGCUCCUGACUUCCGCCCCCUCUGCGGGCCUUUGUUAAGCAGCCUCCGGACGGGAGGCCCCUGCCUUUGGUUGGAAGUGCUGGAGGCGGCCUUCGCAGCAAACCAGAUGAGCGACAGGCUCUUCUGCGUCCUGAGGUUGGCGGGGAAAGAUCACUGACUGGCCCCCGCUCGGAGGAGGCGCUGCCACCGACGGGAGCUGGGACCACUCGCUUACAUCUGAGCCCCUGGGAAAUUUCUGCCCACACACCGCUAAGGAGAGCCAGCCUGCAGAGGUCUGCUCGGGUGACGGGGUCAGCCGCCAGAGGGGCAGGCCAUUCACAGUGUGCUAAGCGGUGGCUUGGAGGAGGCACAGCCAGGGUGGGCUCCCCGAGGAGGAGGUUCCGAGCUCCGGGAUGGCUGGGUGUGCACGGCAGCGAGGCUGGCAUCGGGGCAUCGGGACGCGUGCGGGGAGGCUCGGUGGAUGGAGGAUUCUGGACGCGUGAGGCCUGAGUGAUUUGGCUGAUCAGGGCGCUUUUAGCCAGUUUGUUACUGACAUCGUGAGAGGAAGGGGCUCCCCGGUCCCCGUCCCACACACUGAAAAGGAUGCCUUUGGAACCACAGAGGCCAGGGACGCCCCCAAGCACUGGGACACCCAGUAUCUGAGGAGCCCCUUCAGCCCCAGUGGUCAGGGCUCUUCCUGGCCCCCCAAGACAGUCUCUCUGGGGCCAUGUGGCAUCUCCAGGUCCCCCACAGGCUUAUAUUUCUCCUUGAAAUGCUCCCUUUGGGUUCCUUGGGGCCGCACUCAGAAUGUCACGC